rnacentral:tRNA from 1 species
GUCUCUGUGGCGCAAUCGGUUAGCGCGUUCGGCUGUUAACCGAAAGAUUAGUGGUUCAAGUCCACUCAGGGACG